rnacentral:rRNA from 1 species
AUGCUGGUAGUUCAGGCGGCGACACUGAUUGCUAUGAUUCAGGAACGGGUCAUGUUCAUGCACAGGAGAGUUGUUGAUCGUGGUGAGAGACAUGUUAUGUGUUAUGCUCCAAUGCUUAUGCGGGAGCAGGAGAGGAUCGCCAAUCUGAACUACAUCUAUAACUGCAACGACACAGAGGCUUUGUGGAUGAUUCGAAUGAAAAGAGCACCAUUUGCCAGACUUUCUGAGACCUUCAGGAGCAGGGGGCUGCUACAAGAUAGCAUCCACACCAGUGUGGAAGAGCAAGUGGCCAUGUUCCUCCAUGUUGUUGGCCAUAACUAGAGGUUCGGGGUUAUACACAACACCUUCAGGUCCAUGGAGACCAUCUCAAGGUACUUCAAGCAAGUGAUCUAUGCUGUCGAGGAGCUCAGAGGAGAGAUGAUCAAGCCACCAACCAGUCGGACACCUACCAAGAUUCGCACUAUCCCAAGAUGGUAUCCAUACUUCAAUGUGAGCACUGACAGUAUGUGCUUCAUGGCUUGA